rnacentral:misc_RNA from 1 species
GAUGAAGAACGUAGCGAAAUGCGAUAAGUAAUGUGAAUUGCAGAAUUCCGUGAAUCAUCGAAUCUUUGAACGCACAUUGCGCCCCCUGGUAUUCCGGGGGGCAUGCCUGUCCGAGCGUCAUUGCAACCUUCAAGCGCGGCUUGUGUGUUGGGUCUCGUCCCCCGUGGACGGGCCCGAAAGGCAGUGGCGGCGUCCCGACAUGGUGCCCGAGCGUAUGGGAAUCCUCUUCCGCUCGAAUCGGCCCAUGCGGCGCUGGUCGUAACCAAAUUUUUUACCGGUUGACCUCGGAUCAGGUAGGGAUACCCGCUGAACUUAAGCAUAACAAUAAGCGGAGGA